rnacentral:rRNA from 1 species
CCCCUAGAUGUUCUGGGCCGCACGCGCGCUACACUGAACAGUUCAACAAGUCUUAACCUUGGCCGAUAGGUCUGGGUAAUCUUUGAACGCUGUUCGUGAUUGGGAUAGACCUUUGCAAUUAUGGGUCUUCAACGAGGAAUUCCUAGUAAACGCAAGUCAUCAGCUUGCAUUGAUUACGUCCCUGCCCUUUGUACACACCGCCCGUCGCUCCUACCGAUUGAAUGGUCCGGUGAAGCGUUCGGACCGUGGCCUUUGGACGGUUCGCCGUCUGUUGGCUGCGGGAAGUUCGUUAAACCUUAUCAUUUAGAGGAAGGAGAANUCGUANCA